rnacentral:lncRNA from 1 species
GGACUGGAAGCUGGGUGUUCAAAGGGUGUGAGAAGGGACCAAGACCCGCAUCUUCUGGGCAAAGUUUUCGGGGAGAUGGAAGGAGAGAGGGUCGGGACUGAGUUGCUGGUCUUGGGGACAGAGCAGCCGGAGCUGCGCACCAAGGCUUAGAGUCGGGCGGGAGAUGCGGGGAGAGGGAGGGGGCGGGGAGGGAGGGGAGGGAGAGAGGAGGAAGGGGUGAGAGGGAGAAACCUGCCGCGGCUCUCCGCCUCUUUGUCUGCUCUGGGACUUGGAACAAAAGGGGAAACUCUGAUGAACUCCUUCUCCAGCUCCCUGGACGCCCGAGUAUCUCUUUCUCGCAACUUUGUCAACGCGACUUUCUCCGCUGUCAGGCUGCGCAAAAGUAUCCUAGCGCCUCGCAGGCUGCAACAAUGGAAACAAUGUCCCUUCAAAGUGCGACGAAGUGGAGGGAGAAGGUGUCAUACCAGCGACUCCAAGAGUCAUGUCACCCACUUAGCAGGAGUACUUCUACUGAAAUGCCUUCGAAUUUCUCUUACUGGAUAUAUACCUACCAGCCGCUAGCAUGAAGAUGCCAGGACCGCUGCAAGUUAGCACUGGACAAAGUAGCAUCAACUUCUUCAUUUAGAGUUUCUUCAGUUAAAUUGCUGGGAUUUUCGACAAGGCUUUCCUUAUGUGGAUUAUUGGAGUGUGAUGCCCGAGAAUUCUCUACUUGUAGAAGCACGCCCACGGGACUGCAGAAGCCUUCACACCCACCCAGCACGCUCAGAUCAUCCAGUAACCAACCCAGGAAGUUCUUGUAAGCAUGCAUUUCUUAGUCAACACUGAAUGCCUUUAGACCGAGGUCAACCUUUUCAGCUGGUACCGUGGUUUACACUGCUGGGUUGAUGGCCUAACACUGGCUUAACACUCAUGUCGGCUGCACUAAUUGAAGUCACAUCCAAGUGGGUCAAUGCACUGAACAUAUCUGAUAUAGAAGGUCCCAGAUCCUGAAUUUUUAUCAAUGGUUUGCUGUAUAAGGCUUGCCUCCCAAAUAGCUGAGGACCCUUAUUUGGGAAGAUACGUUCUGAUGGUUAAGCAACAGCACAGAUGUCGAUGGGAAUGAGUGAUGGCCAUCCAGUGACCAGCUGGAUCUGACUGCCUUACAAGACGCAUGUGUAUGAUUAAGAGAGAGACAUUCGUGACUCCCAGAUGUACCUCCUUCCUGUCCCACAGUGUUCCUGAAGGGAGUGAGUUAUGGGGUAACUUAUAACACAGCAGGCUCUUCCUCAAGAUAGCUCUUGUCAAAACAGGAAGACGAAACUCGGGUUUCCAUGAGGAGACCACAGCUUGGGAUCCUGUCUGGAUGUACAAGCAGAAGCAUCUUCAUACUUUUCCAUUUCUAACCAUCAUGCCUCACCCCACCCUCCCAAGGCGACAUCUGCAGAGAGGAGAAUGAGGAGGAAGAGGAGGAGAAAGAGGAGGAGGAAGUAAGACAGAGGGGGACAAGAGGACCAAGAGGGCACAUGGCUGAGGAGGAGGAGAACAACAACAACAACAACAACAACAACAACAACAAGAAGCUUGGUGUUUUCAGGAUGUGUUCCUGAGUCUCGUGAGUAGCACAUGGCAGUUGUUGUCACCUUGGGCUGAGCCGUGAAGAUUCUCACCCUCCCUUGUUGGGGAUGAACUCCGGGAUUCUAAGGAGAGGUCAGCAGGUGUUUCACAGACUGUUCCUGUUGGAGGAUUUGUCUGAUACUCUUCUCCUGAUUAGUCUGGGCUCUACAUUUCCCCAAGGGUGAAACUUGGAAGCCCUCUCCAGGAUGCAGCAGGUAGCUGAGGAGAAAACGAAGACUGACCAGCCCAGAGCUCAGAGCUUCCUCCCAUGCUCAGGAUUUACCACCAAUGCCAUUACAUCGGCCUCUUCUUGUAUGCCUCUGGAAACCACAUGUGUCCUCUGUUUGUAAUGGUUUGGCUAUGGUUGCUGGCCCCUCUUGGACAUUGUUUUCAGAACUUAAAGAAACAUUGCUUUAAAGAUUUAUUAGAACAUAUUUAAAAUAAAACCAUCUUCUCAUUUAGUAUGCAA